UACAAAGGGUGCAAGCGUUACUCGGAAUUACUGGGCGUAAAGCGUGCGUAGGCGGUUCGUUAAGUCUGUCGUGAAAGCCCUGGGCUCAACCUGGGAAUUGCGAUGGAUACUGGCGAGCUAGAGUACGGUAGAGGAUGGUGGAAUUCCCGGUGUAGCGGUGAAAUGCGUAGAGAUCGGGAGGAACACCCGUGGCGAAGGCGGCCAUCUGGACCAGUACUGACGCUGAGGCACGAAAGCGUGGGGAGCAAACAGG
rnacentral:rRNA from 1 species